GCAACAGUGGUUCAGUGGUUAGAACAUUGUAUUUUCAACCACUAAGUCGUAGGUUCGAGCCCUGUUCCGUUUACU
rnacentral:tRNA from 1 species